CUCAUCACAAUACCACAGAGCAAAGUAACGGCGUGAAUUCGAAGAAGCUAGUGAAGUGUUAUUGUGCAAAUUGUGGCUGGGAAGGAGCAUCUCAAGAUAAUACCGUUGGACGACUGGGGCCAGAAGAUGCAUCAGAAGCCAUUGAAUCAUCACUCUCAUCAUCAUCGUUAUGGCCAUUAUUACCAUCGUCCUCAACGCUUUUCACAUCUUCGUCAUCGCUGUAGCUUGUUUCUGUGCGAAUGUGAGAACCAAUAUAAGCAGUCCAUCCAGACUCAUUAUUUCCACUAAAUUCCCCAGAAGCUUGGGAAGGCUCCAUGUAGAAGCUUCAGGAACAAGAGCAUAAUAAGACCCAGCAACUGCAGAGAUUACCUUAAUGCUCAGUCCAGCUUCUUUGGUGCUUCUUGGGAUAGGGAUGUGAUUAAAAAAACUGUGAUUUUUACACCCAGAGCUCUGGCAGUGGCAUACCCAGGCACAUUCCCCGGGGUGACUGUGUCAGACUUGAUGAGGAUGGUUUGGUUUUCCUAGUCAAAGUGGAUGCAAGCUCGCAAGACUGCCUCUAGCGAUUGCUGAGGUCAUUGGAAGGUUAAUUGGUCUCAAUUUGUGCUGGUUGCUGGUCGAAGGGGUGCAGGAAUAUUGUCUUGCAUUUUGAUUGCACAGAAGCCCUUAAUUUAUUAUCUUCGGAUUAUUGAUGAUCCUAGGUUAGUACUACUCCGACUCUUAUUAUAACAUCUUUUUAAUUAAAUUACACGGU